rnacentral:rRNA from 1 species
UACGUAGGCAGCAAGCGUUGUUCGGAAUUAUUGGGCGUAAAGAGCGUGUAGGCGGCCAGGUAGGUCGGUUGUGAAAACUGGAGGCUCAACCUUCAGACGUCGACCGAAACCCCCUGGCUAGAGUCCGGGAGAGGAGAGUGGAAUUCCUGGUGUAGCGGUGAAAUGCGCAGAUAUCAGGAAGAACACCCGUGGCGAAAGCGGCUCUCUGGAACGGUACUGACGCUGAGACGCGAAAGCGUGGGGAGCGAACAGG